CUGCUUUGAUAGCAUGUAUAGUAAGACUGGAACAAUACAGAGAAAAUUGGUAUAACUCCUACAUUCAGAUGACACACAAAUUCGUGAAGUGUUCUGUGUUUGG
ensembl:snRNA U6 U6 spliceosomal RNA